rnacentral:rRNA from 1 species
GACGAACGCUGGCGGCGUGCCUAACACAUGCAAGUCGAGCGAGGAGAGUUCCUUUGGGAACAAACCUAGCGGCGGACGGGUGAGUAACACGUGGGCAACCUGCCUUGUAGAGGGAAUAGCCUUCCGAAAAGGAAGAUUAAUACCGCAUAACAUUACAGUUUCGCAUGAAACAGUAAUUAAAGGAGCAAUCCGCUACAAGAUGGGCCCGCGGCGCAUUAGCUAGUUGGUGAGGUAACGGCUCACCAAGGCGACGAUGCGUAGCCGACCUGAGAGGGUGAUCGGCCACAUUGGGACUGAGACACGGCCCAGACUCCUACGGGAGGCAGCAGUGGGGAAUAUUGCACAAUGGGGGAAACCCCGAUGCAGCAACGCCGCGUGAGUGAUGAAGGUUUUCGGAUCGUAAAGCUCUGUCUUCGGGGACGAUAAUGACGGUACCCGAGGAGGAAGCCACGGCUAACUACGUG